UAAAACCGAGGGCCACCAGUGGAAAGACACCACAGUUUCGUCCCUCUCUAUUUAUGAGCACAGCUAGUCGCCAAAGAUCAUACGCAGUCGCCGGAGUGCUCUCACGUCUACUCUCGAUCCUCUCGACGGAUUGAGAUGGUACCUACGGAAAAUUGUUGUGGUGGAGGAUAGCCAAUAAUAUGAUGCAAGGGCUAGCGAUUUUUGUUGAAUGUAAAGUCUCAAGAUGAAGUUCGGGAAGGAGGUCUCAUGAUAGGAUUAUGGUUGAUCGUAGGUGUGGGAAGACAACUUCAGUUAAAAUCCUUUACAAUUCUAUUUUUGGAAAUUUCAAAGGUUCCACUUUUUUCUCAAUUGUUUUAAAGGUUUUAGAGCUUUCAAAAACUGGAAUUUGGUUCGUUUGCAAGAAAAAUUGCGAUCUACUCAACCCUGUCCUUACCCAUCAACUGAAGUCAUGCACUUGUAGGGUCCCAUUCUCGUCCCUUUAUCAAGAUCACCGAAUGAGAUCAUCUACUCCACUAGCUGCUUCAAGAUCACACCUAUCAGAGACACAACAGUUGAAAAAAAUAAUGUGGAGAAAAAUCUCCUUCUCAUCGUUAUUCAACCAUCAUAGCUUAUUUUAUAGUCAGAGCUUAUGGUGAAUUUAUUCAGUUUAAUGUUCUCUCCUAGCACAGAAGGCAGAACCCAACACCUCCGAUGCUAAAGAAAGGACAGCUCUAUCAACAGGAUCUCUCCUUAUUACUAUGUUUCUCUUCCAGAAGCAUACUUCUUAAAGAGUUCACGAUCCUCUAGAGCCAUAGCUUUUAUGUUGUCGAUGCUGAUCAAUUCUCUUGCCGAAGCUCCAGCUGAAGCUUCUAUAUUAUCCAAACCAUCAAGAAUAAGGAGAACUCUUUUGCAACAAAAUCUCUCUUCUAUUUAGCUAAUUCCCCAGCAACACUGCUCACAGUUGCUUCUUUUGUCAUUAAUAUAUGAGAUGGCAAUUUUCCUUGCAAAUGAACAAAGUUUCAGAAGUCUCUCGAAGUUUGUUUGAUGCCAUCAAGAAAAGUAGAAUUUUUAAAAUUUCUAAAAAUAGAGUUAUAAAGCAUUUUAGCUAAAGUUGUCUUUCCCAUACCUCCCAUCGCCCAUAAUCCAAUGGGGAGACCUUCAUCCUGAACUUCGGUCCUGACACUUCAUAUUCAACAUUAAUUUCAGCUUCCCCAUUCUCACUCUAUAUAGAUAUAUUGGGCAGAAGAAGCUUGCUUCCAUGGUGAUGAAAGCUAUUGCAACUCCAAACAGGGCUUAGCAAAAGCCAAAUCAUUAUCUUCUUGUCGGAGAAUUUAUUCUAUGUGAAAGGGUGUAGAUGCCUUGAAGUUGGAACAGUCAUUCACAGUCCAUCUACACUCACCUCUUCCUCCUCUUUUCAUUAAGUUUACUCUGAGGUAUGCUACUAUCUACAUUACAACUUCAGGUUGAUUUGAUUUCUCUUUCUUAGAUUUAGUUAAUACUCAGUUGUGAUUCUGCUUCUUAAAAGGAAACUGAUCCUUUGGACCCAAAUUCAGGAAAGUCUGAUGUUUCUUCAUGUUUUCUAGUAGUGUACCUUUUUGUAUCGUUUUGCCGUUUCUAGGAGACUAGCAUAAAUUGAUUUCGUAGUCUGCAAAUUCAAAAUUAAUGAAUGAGCGCCUUUGAAAGUCAAAGUUAUGUGCCUCUUUUAAACAAGAAAUUCAGCAUAAGCAGUGAAUCACAAACUUGGAAAAAAAAACUCAUCGACCUAAUGAAUCAAGUAGAACUCAGACCUGAAUUUCAAGUACUAUAGUUUUGUUAUUAUGUCACCUUAAGUUUCCUUUGUGUUUUCUCUAGGGUCAUGAAGGUUCAUCUGCAGGCAAUAUCUAAGUCUAGAUGUGUUCCAUAUGUUAAACCAGUGAUGACAAGGUACUAGGUAGUUUUAACAUGGUAGAUUCUGUCCAUCACAUUGAAACUAAACAGUGAGAUUCAAACUCGCUUCCACUAGAAAAACAAACUUUCCUACAAUUUAUGUGUUGUACCUGUUUUUGUUCAACACAAGGAUGAGUCUGUGGUUCUUGAGAGGCAUCGUGCGUCCCGGAAUGUUGAGCUCCAUUGCAUUUUCAAUCAACAGUAAAAGAUUGUAAAGGCAUAUUUGGGACCAUAGAAUUACCCCAUGAUGGAUUUUUGUAAUCGGAUUACUGAAUUUCGAUUCAAUGCACAGUGCUAAUAAGUAUCUAUUUCUUGAUA